UACGUAGGGAGCAAGCGUUGUCCGGAAUUAUUGGGCGUAAAGAGCUCGUAGGCGGUCUGUCGCGUCGGCUGUGAAAACUCGGGGCUCAACUCCGAGCUUGCAGUCGAUACGGGCAGGCUAGAGUUCGGCAGGGGAGACUGGAAUUCCUGGUGUAGCGGUGAAAUGCGCAGAUAUCAGGAGGAACACCGGUGGCGAAGGCGGGUCUCUGGGCCGAUACUGACGCUGAGGAGCGAAAGCGUGGGGAGCGAACAGG
rnacentral:rRNA from 1 species